rnacentral:rRNA from 1 species
GAUGAACGCUGGCGGCGUGCCUAAUACAUGCAAGUCGAGCGAACGGACGAGAAGCUUGCUUCUCUGAUGUUAGCGGCGGACGGGUGAGUAACACGUGGAUAACCUACCUAUAAGACUGGGAUAACUUCGGGAAACCGGAGCUAAUACCGGAUAAUAUUUUGAACCGCAUGGUUCAAAAGUGAAAGACGGUCUUGCUGUCACUUAUAGAUGGAUCCGCGCUGCAUUAGCUAGUUGGUAAGGUAACGGCUUACCAAGGCAACGAUGCAUAGCCGACCUGAGAGGGUGAUCGGCCACACUGGAACUGAGACACGGUCCAGACUCCUACGGGAGGCAGCAGUAGGGAAUCUUCCGCAAUGGGCGAAAGCCUGACGGAGCAACGCCGCGUGAGUGAUGAAGGUCUUCGGAUCGUAAAACUCUGUUAUUAGGGAAGAACAUAUGUGUAAGUAACUGUGCACAUCUUGACGGUACCUAAUCAGAAAGCCACGGCUAACUACGUGCCAGCAGCCGCGGUAAUACGUAGGUGGCAAGCGUUAUCCGGAAAUAUUGGGCGUAAAGCGCGCGUAGCGGUUUUUUAGUCUGAUGUGAAAGCCCACGGCUCAACCGUGGAGGGUCAUUGGAAACUGGAAAACUUGAGUGCAGAAGAGGAAAGUGGAAUUCCAUGUGUAGCGGUGAAAUGCGCAGAGAUAUGGAGGAACACCAGUGGCGAAGGCGACUUUCUGGUCUGUAACUGACGCUGAUGUGCGAAAGCGUGGGGAUCAAACAGGAUUAGAUACCCUGGUAGUCCACGCCGUAAACGAUGAGUGCUAAGUGUUAGGGGGUUUCCGCCCCUCAGUGCUGCAGCUAACGCAUUAAGCACUCCGCCUGGGGAGUACGACCGCAAGGUUGAAACUCAAAGGAAUUGACGGGGACCCGCACAAGCGGUGGAGCAUGUGGUUUAAUUCGAAGCAACGCGAAGAACCUUACCAAAUCUUGACAUCCUUUGACAACUCUAGAGAUAGAGCCUUCCCCUUCGGGGGACAAAGUGACAGGUGGUGCAUGGUUGUCGUCAGCUCGUGUCGUGAGAUGUUGGGUUAAGUCCCGCAACGAGCGCAACCCUUAAGCUUAGUUGCCAUCAUUAAGUUGGGCACUCUAAGUUGACUGCCGGUGACAAACCGGAGGAAGGUGGGGAUGACGUCAAAUCAUCAUGCCCCUUAUGAUUUGGGCUACACACGUGCUACAAUGGACAAUACAAAGGGCAGCGAAACCGCGAGGUCAAGCAAAUCCCAUAAAGUUGUUCUCAGUUCGGAUUGUAGUCUGCAACUCGACUACAUGAAGCUGGAAUCGCUAGUAAUCGUAGAUCAGCAUGCUACGGUGAAUACGUUCCCGGGUCU